UAUUAUACCAACUUAGAUAGCUGCUCAAAUACUGCUAUCCCAAGUAGAAAUUGUCAGGGGGCAAUGUGGGCAAAACCGGAGGAGAAGGAUAAAAAUCUGCUCGAUCCGUGUGGAAGAGCAUCAAAUGUAUAGAAGUGUGUGUAAACGUCAAGAGCUGCGAAUGCAUUUUCAAAUCAAAACAAACUGGUGUUGGUAAAAUCAAGUGAAAAUGGUCAAAAUCCGUCAAACGUUUGAUAGUUUGAUAGUUUGAUAGAAAGUGGAGUGGCGAGCAAGCGUGUCAAAGCAAUUUGGGAGCGCUUUGAAAAGGAAUGGGAAGAGGAAAAUCUUCCAGGAACAAGCAGCGGUGUCGAUCAACAAGCUUCAUCAUACGGGAAUGUGCAGCCGGAUGCCGUGGAAGUGGCCGAUAUACCCAUGGAAUCAGAAGCAGCGGAUUACAGGGUUUACCAAGUCACUUUGCGAUAUGAACUGUACAAUUCAUCUCACUUGAGACGUAUUUCUAUUCUGACGUGCUACUUCAUUUGGCCCGAAAUAAUUUUCUAUUCCGCCGCAUUCAUUUCCAUACAUUACAUGAAGUCUUUUCACUGGGGUUGUUAGCUGGAGCCAUCCGCGAUGCUUACAUUUUUUUUUAAUUAAAUUUUUGAGCUUUUAGUGCUGAUUUGUGAUACAAGGCGAAUUGGAGGACGAAGUCAAUGAGGAUGAGUAUUUUGAUGCUGAUGAAGCCCCGAAAGUAGUGAUUUGCUGGUAUUGACUCGUGAAACUACAAAUAUUUCUCUUCCUAGGUGUGCAAAGACGCUACUGAAGACUCCGAAACAGGUGGAGAGACAUUUUACGGCCGUUGGAGAAGGGCAGCUUUGGUACCAAGGAAUAAGCACUCUCCAACAAUAUUAUCGAUCUGUACCACCAGUCAUCAGAUUGAUAGAAGCAAAUAUUGCGGUAGAUGGACUUCCGAUGCAUAAUAGUGGACCAACGCAGCUAUGGCCUAUACAGGGUUUACCAAGUCACUUUGCGAUGUGAGCUGCACAUUUCAUCUCACUUGAGACGUAUUUCUAUUCUGACGUGCUACUUCAUUUGGCCCGAAAUAAUUUUCUAUUCCGCCGCAUUCAUUUUCAUCCAUUAUAUGAAGUCUUUUCACAGAGGAUGUUAGCUGGAGCCGUCCGCGAUGUUUACAUUUUUUUCAAAAAUAAAUUUUUGGGCUUUUAGUGCUGAUUUGUUAAAGCCGGUUUCGUAGUACAGUCGUCAACUCGUACGAUUUAACAAAAUGCCCGUCAUGGGUUCAAUCCCACAUAGUUAAUCUACCAGCACUGCCAAUCAUGGUGUUGGUGUAUUUUGUGGUGCGACGAAACCGAGCUGUUUGGAAGGGUUUCUCCGGCCUUUAGUGGAUGAUACAGUAUCGGACAGAAUGAUAGGACCCUAGUGUUUUCAACGCAGCAUGCACCCGUUGGGACAGGUUUA